GGCCCAUUAGCUCAGUCGGUUAGAGCAGGCGACUCAUAAUCGCUUGGUCUCCCGUUCAAGUCGGGAAUGGGCCACCA
rnacentral:tRNA from 1 species